rnacentral:lncRNA from 10 species
CUUAGGUGGUGGUAGAGGUGUGGGCAGAAUAUCAGGAAAUGCUUCCCUCAGGAAUUGAUGUGCAUGAGGAAUCCUGGAGAAUAAGAAGCACUGUUAUCAGCUGUGACAGAGCCCUUCCUGCCUCCUGUCUGCCAGCGUACUUGGGACCAUGCCUCUGUGAAGGACUUCAAUUUCUCUUUACAAGAAUCAACGUGGAGCAAACUCCAGUUGCCUACUGCCUAGCAUUCUUGCUAAGAUACGUAUGUAAAUAAAAUGUCUUUAUAUACCUGAGAAUUUA